GAUGAACGCUGGCGGCGUGCCUAAUACAUGCAAGUCGAGCGAACAGACGAGGAGCUUGCUCCCCUGACGUUAGCGGCGGACGGGUGAGUAACACGUGGAUAACCUACCUAUAAGACUGGGAUAACUUCGGGAAACCGGAGCUAAUACCGGAUAAUAUAUUGAACCGCAUGGUUCAAUAGUGAAAGACGGCUUUGCUGUCACUUAUAGAUGGAUCCGCGCCGCAUUAGCUAGUUGGUAAGGUAACGGCUUACCAAGGCAACGAUGCGUAGCCGACCUGAGAGGGUGAUCGGCCACACUGGAACUGAGACACGGUCCAGACUCCUACGGGAGGCAGCAGUAGGGAAUCUUCCGCAAUGGGCGAAAGCCUGACGGAGCAACGCCGCGUGAGUGAUGAAGGUCUUCGGAUCGUAAAACUCUGUUAUUAGGGAAGAACAGAUGUGUAAGUAACUAUGCACGUCUUGACGGUACCUAAUCAGAAAGCCACGGCUAACUACGUG
rnacentral:rRNA from 1 species